UAGUCCACGCCCUAAACGAUGAAUGUUAGUCGUCGGGUAGCUAGUCUAUUCGGUGAUGCAGCUAACGCAUUAAACAUUCCGCCUGGGGAGUACGGUCGCAAGAUUAAAACUCAAAGGAAUAGACGGGGACCCGCACAAGUGGUGGAGCAUGUGGUUUAAUUCGAAGAUACGCGAAGAACCUUACCUACACUUGACAUACUAGUCGGGACUUUCAGAGAUGAUUGUCUUCGGUUCGGCCGGACUAGAUACAGGUGCUGCAUGGCUGUCGUCAGCUCGGGUCGUGAGAUGUUGGGUUAAGUCCCGCAACGAGCGCAACCCCUAUCGUAUGUUGCCAGCAGGUUAAGCUGGGCACUCGUGCGAGACUGCCGGUGAUAAGCCGGAGGAAGGCGGGGACGACGUCAAGUCAUCAUGGCCCUUACGUGUAGGGCUACAAACGUGCUACAAUGGCCGUGACAAUGGGCAGCAACCUCGCGAGAGGAAGCGAAUCCUAAAAACGGUCUCAGUUC
rnacentral:rRNA from 1 species